UCUCUCUCUCUCUCUCUCUCUCUCAGUCCCCAGGCGCUGCCGUGCCCUCCCCUUUCCGGCGACAAUAUUCCCCAUUUCUUCGCUUCUUCCAUGGAAGACAUAAAGUAGUAUGCACAUGGAGCGGCCAGACAACCAUAGCGAUCGAAUCCACAGUGCAUACACAAAAUAGCUUGAUUAUAGCUGCUGCCUGUUUCUGAUGAACAUGAGCAUGUUUGUGAGAAAUAUGGUGGAUUUGUUGUGAUUGGGCAGCGGCCAGACAACCAUAGAGAUGGAAUCCACAAAUGUUGAGUUUUCUUGUCUCACACCUCUACUAAUUCCAUCUCACAUUUUCUUAUCUUUAGCUAUUGAUUAAAUUUAAUUGUUUAUUCAGAUGUAAUUGUUUAUUGACAUAAAUUUUGGGGUUUUAUAAUUAUGAAGACAUAAAGUAGUAUGCACAUGGAUACUGUGUUUGGAAUCAAUUUGCUGCAUUUGCACUAUUUUAAUUCUCUUUUAAUUUGAUAAAAAUUAAGAGCUUUCAGAUUCAUAUUAAUUAAUACUGAAGAAAGGUUUUUGAGGAAUGCUAUAGAAUUGCAUGCUAAACAUUGAUCCUUAGAAUUUUGUGAGACAUUGAUUAGUUUUUAGUGCGAACUUUUUGUUGUGGCAUACUGUUUUCCAGAGUAUAUGUCCAACGUUGAUGUCUUGGAAGUUGAACGCAUCCACCAUUCCUUUAUAGACCUUUUGUUUACGUUUGUUGAUGUAGGUUAAAUUGGGGAGUGAAGUCAAAACCUGAUGUGGGAUAUAGCAUUGACUGCUUCACACAAAACCAAUGCUUGUACAGUGGUUUACAUUUAUUUACACAGGUAGGAGUUCAUGGUUCAGUUCAGACUGAAUACUGAGUUGAACCGAACCAUAACAACCGUUCAAUAUACCGAACCUUUAUAGUCUUCCGUCGAACUGAACCAGACCGUAUUAAUAGCUCAAUGAACAGUGGAUACACAAAUAGGUAUAUUAUUAGCUGCUGCCUGGUUCCGAUGAACAUGAGCAUGUUUGUGAGAAAUAUGGUAUUGGGCAGUGGCCAGACAACCAUAGAGAUGGAAUCCACAAAUGUUGAGUUUUCUUGUCUCACACUUCUACUAAUUCCAUCUCACAUUUUCCUAUCUUUUGCUAUUGAUUAAAUUUAAUUGUUUAUUCUGAUUUAAUUAUUAAUUGAUGAAUUUUGGGGUUUUAUAAUUAGGAAGACAUAAAGGAGUAUGCCCAUCGAUAAUGUGUUUGGAAUCAAUUUGCUGCAUUUGCACUAUUUUAAUUCUCUUUUAAUUUGAUAGAAAUUAAGAGCUUUCAGAUUCAUAUUAUAACUAAUACUGUAGAAAGGGUUUUGAGGAAUGGAGAUGGUAUAGAAUUGCAUGCUAAACAUUGAUCCUGAGAAUUUUGAGACAUUGAUUAGUUUUUCAAGUGUGAACUUCGUGUUGUGGCCUGUUGUUUACCUAGGUGCAUGAAGUAACAAUUUUCCAGAGUAUAUGUAUGUGCAAUGUUGAAAGUAAGAAAUGUUUAUACAUAAUGUCAGAUUUUACUAAAUCCACCCCUUCACACCCAACACAAUGAAGGUAUUGGAGGCUGCAAUGAAGGCAGCCCAAAUGCCGCAAUU